ACGUGUCGCGUCUGCUGUGAAAUCCCGAGGCUCAACCUCGGGCUUGCAGUGGGUACGGGCAGACUAGAGUGCGGUAGGGGAGAUUGGAAUUCCUGGUGUAGCGGUGGAAUGCGCAGAUAUCAGGAGGAACACCGAUGGCGAAGGCAGAUCUCUGGGCCGUAACUGACGCUGAGGAGCGAAAGCGUGGGGAGCGAACAGGAUUAGAUACCCUGGUAGUCCACGCCGUAAACGUUGGGCGCUAGAUGUAGGGACCUUUCCACGGUUUCUGUGUCGUAGCUAACGCAUUAAGCGCCCCGCCUGGGGAGUACGGCCGCAAGGCUAAAACUCAAAGGAAUU
rnacentral:rRNA from 1 species